UCCUGGGUGAGACAGGCUGCACUCUGUCUUUGUUUGCACCUGGGCAGCUCCCUGAGGCAGCACAGGUUUACCUGAGGGGAGAAUCCCACUUCAGCUCUGUGUUCCCUUGUCCUGUGUCCCUGGGGCUGUGUGGGCAGAUGCUGACUGGUUCUGACUCUGCAGUCACCUUUUGAGCCUAUGACACCUGUGGGCUGUGCGACCCACUCUCCUCCUGGCAUCCUUUGGAAAGAAUAUAAAUUUCCAGAGAGUGGUAAUCCAGGCAGGGUGUAUUCAGGGUGCUGGACAGGGGCUGAAACAGCACAGUGUGAUAUGGUCAGCAUUGCAGACAUGGAAACUUCCAGCACCAAAACAGUAAAACACUAAGCAUGGGGCAGUGAGGUAUUUUUUUCUAACUCACUAAUUUUCUGCUCUUGCUCACUCCAUAGUUCUCCUCUCUAUCCUUCCCUUUGAUUGUCACCUUCUGUUGCAGAGUCUGAGCCAGAUCUUGGAGGUGGCCUAUGGUUUUCAGGUCCCUCUCCCCAAUGGGAAACUCAAGAACAUCUCAGAUCUGGGAACACAGCAGCCUGCUGGUUAGGACAAGAACAGUCCAGAAACACACCCGUCCCUAGGAAGGACCAAGAGAGUCCAGCCCCAGCACCCAUGCACCCAAUAACUGGCCCCACUCUCUGCAGGGUAAUGGCAGCUAAAGGCAGAGAAAGAGUCCCUCUGAGCAGCUCCCUUUGGGCCAGUGAAGAGAGCAGAGAACCAAAGACAAUGCCUUUCAUCAAGAAAAUAAAAAGGAAAAGCACAAACUCUGAAGAGAAACUCUCUGCAUCCUUCCUGCCAUAGCACCAUGAAACAGCUGCAGAAACCUAGCCAUUGCCAAGAGUAUGCACCUUCUCCGGGGAGGAGCAGACAUAACCGGCCAUCUGUUGCUGCAGCUUCAGGAUGAGCUGACUCCUCCAGGAAAUACUUUCCAUCCUACCAGGCCCUUGACUUUGUGAGGAGCAUAAGGGAUGGCAUGCUGUCUGCCAGCCUCACAUGUGCCACAGCAGCAGGACAUUGGUUUAUUACAAGCCUUAGAGAGCAUGGAGAUGCCCUUCUGGAUGAGGUGCCAGACAUCCUGGGCACGAUUUUUAUCCGGAUGCUGAAAGUCCAGGAAAGGUCUGUGAGAGGCUUCCUGCUAGAAGUCGUCUCUGUUCUUGCUGGAUUCCAUAUAGAGGCAAUGACCAGCAGUCUCCUUAGAAAGCCUCUGCCAAUGGACAGGUAGUAGCCACUCCCUACCUUUUGUGCCUGGUGGUGCACACACAUUCCACAGCCUGGCAAAGCCCAUAGAGUUUCAAGCCAGCUGCAGAUUAUUUGGGAUGACUUGGUAAGAGUCAAUGUCCUAGUGCAUUUGCAUAGGAAAUGCCAGGCUUGUGCCUAAUGGCAUUGGCAGAUGACAUCACUGUGCCCCAACCCCAUCCUAGACCAAGAGAGACCUUGGCCUUUGCCUCAAUGUCCUAUUGCUUCAUGACAUCACAGGAGUAUCCGCAGCUCAUAUGUAAUCUGUGUUAAAUUGCAGUGAUACCUCUGAGCUCUGGAGGGCCUUGGGUGGGGAUGAUUUCUUGACCCUCCACAUACUACGGUUGCUCAUGAGCAAGAUUCAACAUCUGGUUGGCAAAGAUAGGAGUUCAGCUGAGGACUCCGCACCCCUUGGACUUGUAGCAGCAACAUGUGGAUCUUUGGAGAUGUGCACCAGCAUUCACUCCAGCCCAAUGCUGAGGGAGCUGCUCCCAGAGAUCCUCAGUGCUCUUCUGGAGCAAGUUGGCAGUAUCUGCCAAUGCCCACAGGUAGCAUCUGGAGGAGGCAGCUGCAGCAGGGGCAGCUGUGAGCAGUGUGCAACCCUGGCAGGCUUUCUAUGGAGACCCUGACCUGUGUCAUAUCUAAGGGCCUUGGGGAGGGAGUGGCUGCAGCCCUCUGUGAAGAGGGAGCUUGGCUACUCCUUGAAAGCCCCCAGACUCACCAUGAGGGAGUGUGCCAGCUGGCUAGCAUCCCAGGAAGACACUGCUCUAAAGGAAGCAAUGUCCCAAUCUACUCACAUCAGCAUCAUCUUUUCCACUUAGACUAAGCCUGUGUCUUCAUGAUUUGCCUGUCUCUAAGCCGACAAGCCACCCUAUGUCCAACAGGAGAGCACCGCUUGCUGAGGCUCUUCCUCAUGGUGUUCUGUGGGAUUCUGCUCUGCUUGUGUGUGACCCCAUCAUCGAAGAGCAUAAGCUCCUGAAGCCAGUGCUUCAUUUACUUCAACAGCGAGCCAGGGACUCUAAUAACCUGGUUCAGCAGAUGACAGCCACAGAACUGGACGAUAUAGUUUAUGGUGACCCUGACCAGUGCCCUGGCAGGCUGCAUAAAGAGAAGACGGCAAGCCUAUUAUACGAUCCAAUUGAAGCAGAGCUUGACAACAAUCCUGUUUCACCUGGAGGACCCCAACCCACAGGUGGCCAAGGAGUGCAGAGCAAACUUGGGCCUCUGCUGCCAUUACCUGGGCUUAAGGAGGAUGCAGGCAGCUCUGACCUUCCAUGUCCAGGGGUCAGAAUGUGUGAAACAAGAGCAGCUGCUGAGAGACCUCUGCUGGUACUUGGUGAGUGAGUUUGUGAGUGGCGGGAGGUCACUGAGGGUAGGGCUCAUUGUAAGAUGAAGGGAGGGAAUUGGAGCCCAAUGUAAAUAACUGCAAGGGUUGGGUCUAGGACCAUGAGGUAUGGGACAGGCCAAGAUUGCUUCUUCUAGUCCCUUGGUGCUCCCGUUUCCUCCUGAUCAGUAUCAGCAUGUGGAGUGAGAGCGCUUCUCACCAGAGGGAGCUCGCAUGUCCUUGGUUCCCUCCAGGCCAAAGACAAGUCUGCUAUCCUGGAAGAUCUCCGUCAGGCAGCCAAGAGGCUCUACAUGAGCCCAUGGCCAGAGAUCCGGGUGGCAGCCAUCAAAUUUAUGGGUGAGAGAGGAUGCUUGGUCCCUUUUUAUUCUCCCCUCUGCCCCUAAGAAGAAUGGUAAAGCUGUUGCUGAGCAGGAUCAGGCUGUUAAUCAGCCUGUGCCUCAGGUUCCCCAGAAAGGAUUUUGAAAGGAUGAUGCUCCCAGUGUUGCAAGGCUAGGGUUGAGAGGGAUUCAGCCAGACAGUACAGCUGGGGGUCAUGGCAGACAAGCCCUGUGCUGUGAUUCAGCAGUCCUGAGUGAUGGAGACGUGUCUGGGACAUGGUAACCCAGCACAGCUUAUGAUUGCUCUGUACCACUUCAUGAGGAAGGCAGAUGGGAAGGAGCAGGGGCCUCCUGGGCCACUGAGUGCAGGGAUGUGGUUCUGGGAGAAGCCCUGUCAGAGAGGUCCCUGUACUACCUUAUUGAGUCCAUCUUGAAAUUCCUUGGGCUUCUCUUCCUCCUGGGAAGGAGGCUGUGUCUACCUGCUGUUGGACUUCCUGCCACCCCAGCUUGUCAGGGAAGGCUGGAUCCCUGCUCUGCCUGCCACUGUGCUGAGGGUGCAGAGAGGCUCCCAGUACCCUUUACACCCCCAGUCCAGCCCAGGGAGAGAGGCAGGUUUCUGUGGUUUAGCAGAGACAUUGGGAGCAGCCCAUGUGUAGACUGCCCUUUUCUUCCUGGCUCCCAGCCUUUACUCAGACCAUGAGACCCAACAGUGCACGUGGUGACCAUAACCAACCUGUGAUGGCAAACACAGCACAGGGGAGCUAAAGAUCUGCCUCUGGGCUGAGUUCUCCUUGUGCCCUGACCAUGGGAAGCUGAUCUGUCCUCCCUGUUGUGUGUUUAGGCAUCAUUAUGGAGUAUGCUACCCCAGGGAGUGCUGAAUGGAUAGAUCUUGCCCACCUGGUGAGCUGUAAGUUAGAAAUCCAGCCCCUGCACUUCCCUUUCUGGUGAGAAAGGCAAGAAAAUGUUGUCAGUGGAAGCUGUUGAGCAUCUCAACCUUCCUCCAUGGACAGCAAAGCUGCCCAAUGCCCAGCAGAACUAGCAUCUCCCCUCAGCUGGGAACACAGGAAGCUCCCAAAGGAGGAGCCACAGCCAUGUCUGUGUGGGAGAGUUUCUGUAGCUUGGGACCCAGAGAGACCACAAGUCUGUGGCUGUUUGAGACACUAAGUGAUGAGAUGAUGGAAGCAACACUGCAUCCAUUGUGCACUGCUUACCUGCACAUCACGCCUGAGCCCUGUUCCCCAGGGAUUACUUUGCUCUGGUGCUGCCAGCAUGUGUGACCAGUGUUCACCUGAAGUGGAAGUGUCUAUUCAUUAAUGUCCCCCUCUCUCCUUUCUGCUCUGUGAACUCUGGAAAAGGACACAUCUCAGGAGGUCCAAGAUAUGGCCACUUGGAUCACAGAGGCCAUUUCUAAAAGAAAUGGGGGCAGAACAUUGCAAAAGGAGGAAAACCAUGGGUAUACCCUGCCCCAUAUAAUUUCAUUACUUUGUUUUGGGUGCCCGAGGCCCCGCCCCAUGUAAGAGCGAGCUCCCAUAUGUGCAUGUGUUUGAUAAUAAAUUAUGUUCUGCAUUCUU